AUUGAAGAGUUUGAUCAUGGCUCAGGAUGAACGCUAGCGACAGGCUUAACACAUGCAAGUCGAGGGGCAGCGGGGGCGAAGCUUGCUUCGCCUGCCGGCGACCGGCGCACGGGUGAGUAACACGUAUGCAACCUACCCCCGGCAGGGGAAUAACCCGGAGAAAUCCGGACUAAUACCACACGGCACUAUCGGGAGGCAUCUCCUGAGAGUUAAAGGAGCGAUCCGGCCGGGGAUGGGCAUGCGGCGCAUUAGCUAGUCGGCGGGGUAACGGCCCACCGAGGCGACGAUGCGUAGGGGUUCUGAGAGGAAGGUCCCCCACACUGGUACUGAGACACGGACCAGACUCCUACGGGAGGCAGCAGUGAGGAAUAUUGGUCAAUGGGCGAGAGCCUGAACCAGCCAAGUCGCGUGAGGGAUGACGGUCCUAUGGAUUGUAAACCUCUUUUGUCGGGGAACAAAGGCGCCCACGAGUGGGCUGAUGAGUGUACCCGAAGAAAAAGCAUCGGCUAACUCCGUGCCAGCAGCCGCGGUAAUACGGAGGAUGCGAGCGUUAUCCGGAUUUAUUGGGUUUAAAGGGUGCGUAGGCGGACAGUCAAGUCAGCGGUAAAAAUGCGGUGCUCAACGCCGUACAGCCGUUGAAACUGGCAGUCUUGAGUGGGCGAGAAGUAUGCGGAAUGCGUGGUGUAGCGGUGAAAUGCAUAGAUAUCACGCAGAACUCCGAUUGCGAAGGCAGCAUACCGGCGCCCUACUGACGCUGAGGCACGAAAGCGUGGGUAUCGAACAGGAUUAGAUACCCUGGUAGUCCACGCAGUAAACGAUGAAUACUAAUUGUCCGGGGCUUCGGUCCUGGGUGAUACAGCGAAAGCGUUAAGUAUUCCACCUGGGGAGUACGCCGGCAACGGUGAAACUCAAAGGAAUUGACGGGGGCCCGCACAAGCGGAGGAACAUGUGGUUUAAUUCGAUGAUACGCGAGGAACCUUACCCGGGCUCAAACGUCAGUUGACGUAUCCGGAAACGGAUAUUCCCUUCGGGGCAACUGACGAGGUGCUGCAUGGUUGUCGUCAGCUCGUGCCGUGAGGUGUCGGCUUAAGUGCCAUAACGAGCGCAACCCCUACCGACAGUUGCUAACAAGUAGCGUUGAGGACUCUGUCGGGACUGCCGGCGCAAGCUGUGAGGAAGGCGGGGAUGACGUCAAAUCAGCACGGCCCUUACGUCCGGGGCGACACACGUGUUACAAUGGCAGGUACAGCGGGAGGCCACGGGGCGACCCGGAGCAGAACCCGAAAACCUGUCUCAGUUCGGAUUGGAGUCUGCAACCCGACUCCAUGAAGCUGGAUUCGCUAGUAAUCGCGCAUCAGCCACGGCGCGGUGAAUACGUUCCCGGGCCUUGUACACACCGCCCGUCAAGCCAUGGAAGCCGGGAGUGCCUGAAGUGCGUGACCGCAAGGAGCGCCCUAAGGCAAGACCGGUGACUGGGGCUAAGUCGUAACAAGGUAACC
rnacentral:rRNA from 1 species